rnacentral:rRNA from 1 species
UACGGAAGGGGCAAGCGUUGUUCGGAAUCAUUGGGCGUAAAGGGCGCGUAGGUGGUUUGAUAAGGGUGUGGUGAAAGUCCGGGGCUCAACCCCGGAUCUGCCGUGCCGACUGUCAAACUCGAGGGUUGUAGAGGCAGACGGAAUUCCGGGUGUAGCGGUGGAAUGCGUAGAGAUCCGGAGGAAGACCGGUGGCGAAGGCG